AUAGAUCUAUGCCCGAAAGUCAUGAUUCCCAUCUCGGUUCCUCCACUCCUAAUGUCACUUCUUCAAGGUGUGUUAUUGUUCUUGUCCUAAAUCACCUUGAAUUUGAAGACCCGAAAUCCUUUGAAUAAAAACCCAAAAAUUUGUUCUUUCGUUUUUGGCUUUGCUAUGUUGUUUUUCUUUUUGCUUUGUUAGUGUUUUUUACUGGCAGUGAGCAACUUUUUGGUAACAAGUAGGUGAUAAAGCUGAGUUUUUGGGUUUUCUGGGUCAAAGUUACAGUCGACUUGGUUGUGGGACUAUUGCUAUUGGUCUAUAAAUUUUCUUAUUGUCGAUUGGCACUGAAUUUGGGGCUAUGGUUGGCUGAGCCGUAUGAUGUUGGGGUUGUGAAUUUCCUGAUUGUUGGUUGAAAUUGAAUUUUGGGGCUGUCGGUGUGGCUCGACGUGUUGCUGUUGGGGUUUUUGUGCUAAUGGUGAAUUAUGGGUAGUUAUUGAUUCUGUUUGUAGGUUUAUGGUUUUUUUUUUGUACUGUGUAUGGUGUCUAUGUUGAUCAUUAGGGGAAGUAUGUUUCAGGAAAUAAUGGUUUCAAUUGGGUGAAGGUUCUUACAGUAGAAUUGUUGUUGAGCCUUUGGGUGAUUGUUGGAGGUACGAACAACAGUGGGGAAUUGAUGGUGAAAUAGUUGAUUGGAUACGCCCUGGGGUGGAUUGGGCAAUGGUUGAAGGUGAGCUGGACAACUGUGGUAGUGAUUGUUUCCCAGUGAAUGGUGCUUGUUGCCCCCCAUUUUACAGUGUAAUUGUCCUUGCUUAAAUAAGGACUCGGCCCCCAUAGGAUACGAGA
rnacentral:lncRNA from 1 species